UACGUAGGGCGCAAGCGUUGUCCGGAAUUACUGGGCGUAAAGGGCUCGUAGGUGGCCAACUAAGUCAGACGUGAAAUCCCUCGGCUUAAACCGGGGAACUGCGUCUGAUACUGGAUGGCUUGAGUUUGGGAGAGGGACGCGGAAUUCCAGGUGUAGCGGUGAAAUGCGCAGAUAUCAGGAGGAACACCGGUGGCGAAGGCGGGUCUCUGGGCCGGAUACUGACGCUGGAGGAGCGAAAGCGUGGGGAGCAAACAGG
rnacentral:rRNA from 1 species